GUUCAUUUUAAAAUAAGAAUUUGAAAUUCUUAUAAGGAAAUUAACAAUAAUAUUUUCAAUGAAUU
rnacentral:tRNA from 1 species